CUUCUACACUGCAGAACUUGCUGCGCUUUGUGUAGGGAAGGAUUUGAAGGAACAUUCCUGUCAUUCCUUCCAACUAAACAAAUGGAGCCACAAGAUCAGGAUCUGUCAGAAGUCCUGGACGGCCUGGAUCAUUUUCUCCCAUUUUUGCCUAAGGCUCAGGAAAAUCGCCCCAGGAUAUACAAUGUUCUCUGGAGGAAGAGGUUCUCAUCCUGUUUGGGAACAAUCAGGAGAGAGAAGAAUUCAACUGGAGGCAGGUCUUGGUGCCAAGAGGGGCCGUCCUUGCCAGGUGACUUACUCCUUCACAGUGCAGAUCACCUGGAGAGGAAAGACCCUACCCUCCCAGUUCGCAGGUGCAGAAGCUGCAGCCCAGAGGAAGGAGAUGCAUGCAAGGACUCCAGCAGUGUGGCUCAGGUGGAUCAGAAGGGAUGCCUUGCCCCGUGCUGCUGCUGGUACUUCGAACAGUCUGAGGCUCUGCGCUCCUCAGGACUGCUCCUCGAAGAAACUGGCUGUGUGGGAAGAUCCGCAGGGCUUGCGCUCCCGGAGCGGAGCCCCGCCCAGGGUGGGACUGCGCCCGCGGUGUCUGGGACUGGAGCUCUUCGGCGGCCGCAGGGCGCACUACCCCACU